rnacentral:rRNA from 1 species
UACGUAGGUGGCAAGCGUUAUCCGGAUUUAUUGGGUGUAAAGGGCGUGUAGGCGGGAAAGCAAGUCAGAUGUGAAAACUCAGGGCUCAACCCUGAGCCUGCAUUUGAAACUGUUUUUCUUGAGUGCUGGAGAGGCAAUCGGAAUUCCGUGUGUAGCGGUGAAAUGCGUAGAUAUACGGAGGAAUACCAGUGGCGAAGGCGGAUUGCUGGACAGUAACUGACGCUGAGGCGCGAAAGCGUGGGGAGCAAACAGG